AUUGAACGCUGGCGGCAUGCUUUACACAUGCAAGUCGAACGGCAGCGCGGGGCAACCUGGCGGCGAGUGGAGAACGGGUGAGUAAUAUAUCGGAACGUACCCAGAAGUUGGGGAUAACGUAGCGAAAGGUACGCUAAUACCGCAUACGAUCUACGGUUGAUGGUGGGGGACCGCAAGGUCUUAUGCUUUUGGAUCGGCCGAUAUCUGAUUAGCUAGUUGGUGAGGUAAAGGCUCACCAAGGCGACGAUCAGUAGCUGGUCUGAGAGGAUGACCAGCCACACUGGAACUGAGCCACGGUCCAGACUACUACGGGAGGCAGCAGUGGGGAAUUUUGGACAAUGGGCGCAAGCCUGAUCCAGCAAUGCCGCGUGAGUGAAGAAGGCCUUCGGGUUGUAAAGCUCUUUUGUCAGGGAAGAAACGGUAGAGGCUAAUAUCCAUCGCUAAUGACGGUACCUGAAGAAUAAGCACCGGCUAACUACGUG
rnacentral:rRNA from 1 species